rnacentral:rRNA from 1 species
AUUGAACGCUGGCGGCAUGCUUUACACAUGCAAGUCGAACGGCAGCGGGGUAGUGCUUGCACUACUGUCCGGCGAGUGGCGAACGGGUGAGUAAUAUAUCGGAACGUACCGAGUAAUGGGGGAUAACCAAUCGAAAGAUUGGCUAAUACCGCAUACGUCCUAAGGGAGAAAGCGGGGGAUCGCAAGACCUCGCGUUAUUCGAGCGGCCGAUAACUGAUUAGCUAGUUGGUGGGGUAAAGGCCUACCAAGGCGACGAUCAGUAGCGGGUCUGAGAGGACGAUCCGCCACACUGGGACUGAGACACGGCCCAGACUCCUACGGGAGGCAGCAGUGGGGAAUUUUGGACAAUGGGGGCAACCCUGAUCCAGCCAUGCCGCGUGUAUGAAGAAGGCCUUCGGGCUGUAAAGUACUUUUGUUAGGGAAGAAAAGGGAAGUGCUAAUACCACUUUUUGCUGACGGUACCUAAAGAAUAAGCACCGGCUAACUACGUGCCAGCAGCCGCGGUAAUACGUAGGGUGCGAGCGUUAAUCGGAAUUACUGGGCGUAAAGCGAGCGCAGACGGUUAUUUAAGCAGGAUGUGAAAUCCCCGGGCUUAACCUGGGAACUGCGUUCUGAACUGGAUAGCUAGAGUGUGUCAGAGGGGGGUAGAAUUCCACGUGUAGCAGUGAAAUGCGUAGAGAUGUGGAGGAAUACCGAUGGCGAAGGCAGCCCCCUGGGAUAACACUGACGUUCAUGCUCGAAAGCGUGGGUAGCAAACAGG